rnacentral:rRNA from 1 species
GACGAACGCUGGCGGCGUGCCUAAUACAUGCAAGUUGAGCGCUGAAGGUUGGUACUUGUACCAACUGGAUGAGCAGCGAACGGGUGAGUAACGCGUGGGGAAUCUGCCUUUGAGCGGGGGACACAUUUUGGAAACAAAGGCUAAUACCCAAUAAAAAUUUUAAAAAAAAGUUUUAAGUUUGAAAAAUCCAAUUGCAUAAUUCAAAGAUGAUCCCGCGUUGUAUUAGCUAGUUGGUGAGGUAAAGGCUCACCAAGGCGAUGAUACAUAGCCGACCUGAGAGGGUGAUCGGCCACAUUGGGACUGAGACACGGCCCAAACUCCUACGGGAGGCAGCAGUAGGGAAUCUUCGGAAAUGGACGAAAGUCUGACCGAGCAACGCCGCGUGAGUGAAGAAGGUUUUCGGAUCGUAAAACUCUGUUGGUAGAGAAGAACGUUGGUGAGAGUGGAAAGCUCAUCAAGUGACGGUAACUACCCAGAAAGGGACGGCUAACUACGUG